GCUGGGUGAGGUGGUGCACACCUGUAAUCCCAGCUAUGCCAGAGGCUGAGGCAAGAGGAUCACAAGUUUGAGGCCAGCCUCAGCAAUUCAGUGAGACCCUCAGCAACCUAGUGAGACCCUGUAUCAA
rnacentral:sRNA from 1 species